GACGGAGGAUGCAAGCGUUAUCCGGAAUGAUUGGGCGUAAAGCGUCCGCAGGUGGCAGUUCAAGUCUGCUGUCAAAGACCGGGGCUUAACUUCGGAAAGGCAGUGGAAACUGAACAGCUAGAGUAUGGUAGGGGCAGAGGGAAUUCCUGGUGUAGCAGUGAAAUGCGUAGAGAUGUGGAGGAAUACCGAUGGCGAAGGCAGCCCCCUGGGAUAACACUGACGCUCAUGCACGAAAGCGUGGGGAGCAAACAGG
rnacentral:rRNA from 1 species